UACGUAGGUGGCAAGCGUUGUCCGGAAUUAUUGGGCGUAAGCGCGCGCAGGCGGUCCUUUAAGUCUGAUGUGAAAGCCCACGGCUCAACCGUGGAGGGUCAUUGGAAACUGGGGGACUUGAGUGCAGGAGAGAAGAGUGGAAUUCCACGUGUAGCGGUGAAAUGCGUAGAGAUGUGGAGGAACACCAGUGGCGAAGGCGACUCUUGGCCUGUAACUGACGCUGAGGCGCGAAAGCGUGGGGAGCAAACAGG
rnacentral:rRNA from 1 species